rnacentral:rRNA from 1 species
AGAGUUUGAUCAUGGCUCAGAUUGAACGCUGGCGGCAGGCCUAACACAUGCAAGUCGAGCGGUAACAGAAAGUAGCUUGCUACUUUGCUGACGAGCGGCGGACGGGUGAGUAAUGCUUGGGAACAUGCCUUGAGGUGGGGGACAACAGUUGGAAACGACUGCUAAUACCGCAUAAUGUCUACGGACCAAAGGGGGCUUCGGCUCUCGCCUUUAGAUUGGCCCAAGUGGGAUUAGCUAGUUGGUGAGGUAAUGGCUCACCAAGGCAACGAUCCCUAGCUGGUUUGAGAGGAUGAUCAGCCACACUGGAACUGAGACACGGUCCAGACUCCUACGGGAGGCAGCAGUGGGGAAUAUUGCACAAUGGGCGAAAGCCUGAUGCAGCCAUGCCGCGUGUGUGAAGAAGGCCUUCGGGUUGUAAAGCACUUUCAGUCAGGAGGAAAGGGUGUGAGUUAAUACCUCACAUCUGUGACGUUACUGACAGAAGAAGCACCGGCUAACUCCGUGCCAGCAGCCGCGGUAAUACGGAGGGUGCGAGCGUUAAUCGGAAUUACUGGGCGUAAAGCGUACGCAGGCGGUUUGUUAAGCGAGAUGUGAAAGCCCCGGGCUCAACCUGGGAACUGCAUUUCGAACUGGCAAACUAGAGUGUGAUAGAGGGUGGUAGAAUUUCAGGUGUAGCGGUGAAAUGCGUAGAGAUCUGAAGGAAUACCGAUGGCGAAGGCAGCCACCUGGGUCAACACUGACGCUCAUGUACGAAAGCGUGGGGAGCAAACGGGAUUAGAUACCCCGGUAGUCCACGCCGUAAACGAUGUCUACUAGAAGCUCGGAACCUCGGUUCUGUUUUUCAAAGCUAACGCAUUAAGUAGACCGCCUGGGGAGUACGGCCGCAAGGUUAAAACUCAAAUGAAUUGACGGGGGCC